rnacentral:lncRNA from 1 species
UAUAAUUUUUUAAUAUUUUAAUCAAAAUAUUAAUUUAAAUAAAAAUAUUUAUUAUUUAUAUUUUAAAUUUCAUACUAAAAUUUUUGGAAAAACUUCAAAAACCCCCCCUGUGGUUUCGUAGUUUCUCACUUUGCCCCCAUGUGGUUUAAAAUGUAUCAAUUUGCCCCCAUGUGGUUUUGUUUUUCUCUUUUUCUUAUCAAUUUCAUUAUUUUUUUUUUCCUUAAAUCAGUAAUAAAGUUAAAAUUAAAGGGUACUAAAAUGAAUAUUUGAUAAAUCUAGAUGGGUAUCUGAAGUUUUUUGUAUAUAAUUUAACGAAAUAUUAACGAAAAAGCUACCGAAAAGAUAAAAACGAAACCACAGGGGGGCAAAUUAAUUCACUUUAAACCACAGGGAGGCAAAGUGAGAAAGUACGAAACCACAUGGGGGAUUUUUGAAGUUU